CUACGCGGCGGCAGGCUACCAUGCAAUUCGAACGGUAACAGGAAGCAGCUUGCUGCUUCGCUGACGAGUGGCGGACGGGUGAGUAAUGUCUGGGAAACUGCCUGAUGGAGGGGGAUAACUACUGGAAACGGUAGCUAAUACCGCAUAACGUCGCAAGACCAAAGAGGGGGACCUUCGGGCCUCUUGCCAUCGGAUGUGCCCAGAUGGGAUUAGCUAGUAGGUGGGGUAACGGCUCACCUAGGCGACGAUCCCUAGCUGGUCUGAGAGGAUGACCAGCCACACUGGAACUGAGACACGGUCCAGACUCCUACGGGAGGCAGCAGUGGGGAAUAUUGCACAAUGGGCGCAAGCCUGAUGCAGCCAUGCCGCGUGUAUGAAGAAGGCCUUCGGGUUGGUAAGUACUUUCAGCGGGGAGGGAAAGGGAUAAGGUUUAAUAACCUUGUCGAUUGACGUUACCCGUAGAAGAAGCACCCGGCUAAACUCCGUGCCGCAGCCGCGGAAUUCGGAGGGGUCCAGCCGUUCAUCCGAAUUACUGGGCGUAAAGCGCACAGCAGGCCGGCUGUCCAGUCCGGUUUUUAAAUCCCCGGAUCUACCUUGGAACCGCAUUCCAAACUGGCAGGGUAAAGUCCGGUAA
rnacentral:rRNA from 1 species